ACAUGCAAGUCGAACGCAGUAGCAAUACUGAGUGGCAAACGGGUGAGUAUAAUGUGGGAAUCUGCCUUUUGGUUUGGAAUAACACGAGGAAACUUGUGCUAAUACCGGAUAAGCCUUCACAGGGAAAGUUUUAUACGCCAAAAGAUGAGCCCGCACUUGAUUAGAUAGUUGGUGAGGUAAAAGCUCACCAAGUCAACGAUCAAUAGCUGGUCUGAGAGGACGAUCAGCCACAUUGGGACUGAGACACGGCCCAGACUCCUACGGGAGGCAGCAGUAAGGAAUCUUGCACAAUGGGGGAAACCCUGAUGCAGCGAUGCCGCGUGAGUGAAGAAGGCCUUUGGGUUGUAAAACUCUUUCGUCGGGGAAGAAAAUGACUGUACCCGAAUAAGAAGGUCCGGCUAACUUCGUGCCAGCAGCCGCGGUAAUACGAAGGGACCUAGCGUAGUUCGGAAUUACUGGGCUUAAAGAGCUCGUAGGUGGUUAAAAAAGUUGAUGGUGAAAUCCCAAGGCUCAACCUUGGAACAGCCAUCAAAACUUUUUAGCUAGAGUAUGAUAGAGGAAAGUGGAAUUUCUAGUGUAGAGGUGAAAUUCGUAGAUAUUAGAAAGAACACCAAAUGCGAAGGCAACUUUCUGGAUCAUUACUGACACUGAGGAGCGAAAGCAUGGGUAGCGAAGAGGAUUAGAUACCCUCGUAGUCCAUGCCGUAAACGAUGUGUGCUAGACGUUGGAAACAUAGUUUUCAGUGUCGCAGCGAAAGCAUUAAGCACACCGCCUGGGGAGUACG
rnacentral:rRNA from 1 species